rnacentral:rRNA from 1 species
UACGAAGGGGGCUAGCGUUGUUCGGAAUUACUGGGCGUAAAGAGCUCGUAGGCGGUGUGUCGCGUCGGCCGUGAAAACCUGCAGCUUAACUGUGGGCUUGCGGUCGAUACGGGCAUCACUGGAGUUCGGCAGGGGAGACUGGAAUUCCUGGUGUAGCGGUGAAAUGCGCAGAUAUCAGGAGGAACACCGGUGGCGAAGGCGGGUCUCUGGGCCGAUACUGACGCUGAGGAGCGAAAGCGUGGGGAGCGAACAGG